rnacentral:rRNA from 1 species
AUGUCUAGGAAAAUGUACCAAGGUGGUUCUUCAAGAAAGAAAGGACCCAGGCUCGCAAUGCAUGAACCGGACGAUGAACCACCAAGGGAAGCUGACGUGCGGCCUUGUGAAUGGCCCUUAGAAGAGUUUAUGGUUAAUGCAGGCAUCAAGGAUGAAUUUGAUGCAUAUGUGCGUAAUGCUGAUCUUGAGGACUUCAUGCAAGAUAAGUGUCCUCAGUACUACUAUUUGAUUGAUUCAUUCGUGAGAAGGUUUAAAUUUACAUCUUCGCGUAAUUCUCCAAGUGUCCUAUUUGAUAUUUAUGAUAGAUCAUAUACCAUGGACCUAGAAGAUUUCACUACUGCUUGUAAACUCCCGCAAUGGGGCAAUGUUAAUGAACCCCGUAAAUCUGAAUAUAAAGACUUUCUUGCUAGUAUCACUGUGGGAGAAUCUAGAGAAAUAGCACAAGCUACCAUAGGGAGCAUUCACAUUCCUGCUAUACAUUAUUUUGCUCUUUUCAUUGGUAGAUGCAUUAACAGUAAAGAUGAAGCAUGUCACAUGUGUGUUCCUGAUCUUUGUGUUCUCAAGAGUGUUGUAUUAGGUGAUAAACCAUACAACUUGGGGGCAAUUUUUGCACGUAGGUUGCAUAAUAAUGGUUUAGUUGGAGGUUUGUUUGGAGGGAUUUAUGCGACCCGUGUGGCUAAUUAUCUUGGUAUACCUAUACAUGAGGAUGAUAGGGAGUUGCCUCCCUCUUAUUUAGAUUAUAAUGCUAUGGUUAGUCAUCAUUUUCUUGAGAGGAAUGAACAAUUCCUCCAGUAUUGA